UAAUACGUAGGGGGCGAGCGUUGUCCGAAUUCACUGGGCGUAAAGCGCGCGUAGGCGGACGCUUAAGUUGUGGGUGAAAUCCCGAGGCUCAACCUCGGAGCUGCCUGCAAAACUGGGUGUCUUGAGGUUUGGAGAGGGAAGUGGAAUUCCAGGUGUAGCGGUGAAAUGCGUAGAUAUCUGGAGGAACACCCGUGGCGAAGGCGGCUUCCUGGCCAUAUCCUGACGCUGAGGUGCGAAAGCUAGGGGAGCGAACGGG
rnacentral:rRNA from 1 species